rnacentral:rRNA from 1 species
CCGAGUUUACAACUCCCAAACCCCUGUGAACAUACCACUUGUUGCCUCGGCGGAUCAGCCCGCUCCCGGUAAAACGGGACGGCCCGCCAGAGGACCCCUAAACUCUGUUUCUAUAUGUAACUUCUGAGUAAAACCAUAAAUAAAUCAAAACUUUCAACAACGGAUCUCUUGGUUCUGGCAUCGAUGAAGAACGCAGCAAAAUGCGAUAAGUAAUGUGAAUUGCAGAAUUCAGUGAAUCAUCGAAUCUUUGAACGCACAUUGCGCCCGCCAGUAUUCUGGCGGGCAUGCCUGUUCGAGCGUCAUUUCAACCCUCAAGCACAGCUUGGUGUUGGGACUCGCGUUAAUUCGCGUUCCCCAAAUUGAUUGGCGGUCACGUCGAGCUUCCAUAGCGUAGUAGUAAAACCCUCGUUACUGGUAAUCGUCGCGGCCACGCCGUUAAACCCCAACUUCUGAAUGUUGACCUCGGAUCAGGUAGGAAUACCCGCUGAACUUAAGCAUAUCAUUAAAGCGGAGGA